UACGUAGGUGGCAAGCGUUGUCCGGAUUUACUGGGUGUAAGGGCGCGUAGGCGGGAUCGCAAGUCAGAUGUGAAGUCCAUGGGCUCAACCCAUGAACUGCAUUUGAAACUGUGAUUCUUGAGUAUCGGAGAGGUAAGCGGAAUUCCUAGUGUAGCGGUGAAAUGCAUAGAUAUUAGGAGGAACACCAGUGGCGAAGGCGGCUUGCUGGACGACAACUGACGCUGAGGCGCGAAAGCGUGGGGAGCAAACA
rnacentral:rRNA from 1 species